AUACCUUCUCGGCCUUUUUGCUAAGAUCAAGUGUAGUAUCUGUUCUUAUCAGCUUAAUAUCUGAUACAGCACACUUGUGUGCUGAGAUAUUAUGUGAAUUUUGCACGGGGGUGGCGGGUAGCUCUGAGGCAACUCAGAGUCCGCCACACGCACGAGAUGCUGCGCACUGAAGAAACGUCCCCGGUUCUGCAUAAAGU